UCCCGGUUUCCCGGGCAGUCCUGUCAGAGUGCUCAUUAAAAUGGUAGCAACUGACAGCAGGAGUUGCGCUCGUUAUAGGACUUAACCCAACAUCUCACGACACGAGCUGACGACAGCCAUGCAGCACCUGUGUACCCGUUUAGACCGAAGUCUAAAAGAUCGUAUUUCUACGACUGUCAAGUACAUGUCAAGCCCAGGUAAGGUUCCUCGCGUAGUGUCGAAUUAAACCACAUGUUCCACCGCUUGUGCGGGCCCCCGUCAAUUCUUUUGAGGUUUAGUCUUGCGACCGUAAUUCUCAGGCGGAUCACUUAUCGCGUUAGCUACGACACUGAUUCCGCUAAGCAGAACCAACAUCAAGUGAUCAUCGUUUACGGCGUGGACUAC
rnacentral:misc_RNA from 1 species